rnacentral:rRNA from 1 species
AGAGUUUGAUCCUGGCUCAGGACGAACGCUGGCGGCGUGCUUAACACAUGCAAGUCGAACGCUGAAGCCUGGCUUUGUGUUGGGUGGAUGAGUGGCGAACGGGUGAGUAACACGUGAGUAACCUGCCCUCUUCUUCGGGAUAACGGUCUGAAAGGGCUGCUAAUACCGGGUAUUCACUGGUCCUCGCAUGGGGGUUGGUGGAAAGGUUUUUUCUGGUGGGGGAUGGGCUCGCGGCCUAUCAGCUUGUUGGUGGGGUGAUGGCCUACCAAGGCUUUGACGGGUAGCCGGCCUGAGAGGGUGACCGGUCACAUUGGGACUGAGAUACGGCCCAGACUCCUACGGGAGGCAGCAGUGGGGAAUAUUGCACAAUGGGCGAAAGCCUGAUGCAGCGACGCCGCGUGAGGGAUGGAGGCCUUCGGGUUGUGAACCUCUUUCGCCCGUGGUCAAGCCGCAACUGUGGGUUGUGGUGAGGGUAGUGGGUAAAGAAGCGCCGGCUAACUACGUGCCAGCAGCCGCGGUAAUACGUAGGGCGCGAGCGUUGUCCGGAAUUAUUGGGCGUAAAGGGCUUGUAGGCGGCUGGUCGCGUCUGCCGUGAAAUCCUCUGGCUCAACUGGGGGCGUGCGGUGGGUACGGGCUGGCUUGAGUGCGGUAGGGGAGGCUGGAACUCCUGGUGUAGCGGUGGAAUGCGCAGAUAUCAGGAAGAACACCGGUGGCGAAGGCGGGUCUCUGGGCCGUUACUGACGCUGAGGAGCGAAAGCGUGGGGAGCGAACAGGAUUAGAUACCCUGGUAGUCCACGCUGUAAACGUUGGGCACUAGGUGUGGGGGCCACCCGUGGUUUCCGCGCCGUAGCUAACGCUUUAAGUGCCCCGCCUGGGGAGUACGGCCGCAAGGCUAAAACUCAAAGGAAUUGACGGGGGCCCGCACAAGCGGCGGAGCAUGCGGAUUAAUUCGAUGCAACGCGAAGAACCUUACCAAGGCUUGACAUGCGCCCCGGGCGCGCGGAGACGCGCGCGCAUUUGGUUGGGGGUGUGCAGGUGGUGCAUGGUUGUCGUCAGCUCGUGUCGUGAGAUGUUGGGUUAAGUCCCGCAACGAGCGCAACCCUUGCCCUAUGUUGCCAGCGCGUUAUGGCGGGG